GACAGAGGGUGCAAGCGUUGUUCGGAAUCAUUGGGCGUAAAGGGCGCGUAGGCGGUUUUAUAAGUCGGAUGUGAAAUCCCAGGGCUCAACCGUGGAAGUGCAUCCGAAACUGUAUAACUUGAAUCCCAGAGAGGGCGGUGGAAUUCCCAGUGUAGGAGGUGAAAUUCGUAGAUAUUGGGAGGAACACCAGUGGCGAAGCGGCCGCCUGGGAUGGAGAUUGACGCUGAGGCGCGAGAGCGU
rnacentral:rRNA from 1 species